UUACGGACAUAUCACUUUGGAAUACCGGUUCACGUACGAUCAGCGGAGUUUAGAAACCUCGAGCCUGAUCAGUACGUAGAUGGGUGACCGCCUGGAAAUAUCAGGUGCUGUAAG